CUUUCUCAUUCUCCUUUAAAAAAAAAAAAAACAGAUUAUUAGCUUCUUUGAGAAUCUCAGGGACUCUGCAUGGGAUGCUUUUUUAGUGCACGAGGUUUUGUUGAAUUCUCUUUUUUGUUUCCAUAGAAAGUAGCAUCUUAGAGAUUUUUGCUGCAAAUUUCAAAAUUAAAUGAAUUUGAAUUUUGGGUUUCUAUGUGGUCUUUUAAAGUUUGGAAUGAUUCUAGGAAUAUAGGACUGAACUAGAAGAUCAGCGUUAAGUCAAACGGUCGACCUGUCAAGGUAAUAAGAGAACCUGCAUUUGGGUUUUUUAAUUUAUAAAUUUUUUAUGGUGUAGUUAAAUUCUUAAAAAAUACUGUUUGGGAUUUUUAUUUUAUAAAUUUAUUAUUGUGUAGUUAGAUUCUUUAUAAAAAAAAUCAGUAAGAAUUUAUUUUUGACACAAAGAAACACAAUUUCUGUUAAUUUGUUAAUCCAUAUCCAGAUCUAUGUAAAUACAAAUGGAUCCCACAGAUCUAGAAUUGAAGCCAAACACACAAUCUGCUCGUGACAUAAAAUUUGAGGAACAAAUGCUUAAGUGUCAUGAAGAAAGUAAAGGCUUAAGUUGAUUUUUUUGGUGCAGGUGGAGUUGUCCAAAUCUCUAGGUAAUUGGCAGUGAUCUUGAGUCCCUAACAUUAGUCAGGUAAAAUGUGUAGGGACAUAACUAGAAGUCUAGGGUAGUGUGUUUAAUACAUGUGCAGAGGCAUAUGUGUUCAUGACUUUUGCUGGAUGUUAAAAGAAGCUACAUGAUUUCCUAUGUAGAUACAAGUAGCUUUCCAUCUUGGGCUUAACAUUUGGAAAGUCCAAAAUUAACUUUGUUAUGCAUGAUGGAUAUAUUCCGGUCCAUGUCCUGAAAUUAGUGCUUAUAAUGACACACACAUUUACUAAUACAAAUAGAUCAACCACCAACAUUUCCCCUAUACUUCUCUCUAAUUGCAGAUGGCAAUUAAUAAGAGUAAAUUUAUAAUUGGUGGUUCAGCGAAAUCCCACAAAUCAAAUGAAUGAGUUAUCAUACUUCAGAUCUUCUUAAAGUGGCUUUCUUGGAUAGAAUACCUUUAUGGACCUAAUAUACAUAGUCAGUAAUCUCCAGACCAAGAACAAUCAAUUCCCAGAGUUGCAGAACUCUAUAAUCACUAUGAAUGGCAAUAGAGUAAAAACUAAUACUACACAAUCAUAUAUAACUAUACGCACCAUAACUGCCACACACAAAAAAAAAAAAAAAAAAAAAAAAAAAAAAAAAAAAACCUAAGUGUCAAGCUUCUAUUAUGUAUGCUUCUAUUAUGUAUGGCUACAGUAGUUGAGGUUAAGUAGUGUAUUAACAGUUGGUCAUAAUUUUGCAAGAAGUGUAACCCAACAGUUGCCUCCUUUAAGUAAAGAAAUUUCACCUCUGGCCAAAUUUCUGGAGCUCUUUGACAUAAGAAAAAAACAAAUUCCUUUUGUUUUUUGCCUUUUAUCUAUUUUUUACUGCCUCUUCUCUUCCCUUCUCAAAAUUUUCAUCUGCCAAGCUCUUAUAUAACUAGAACAGAAAAUUAUCAAUCUUUGAACUUUUUUUUUUAAUUAUUUAAUAUCACCUUGGUUGGAUAAUGGUCCUCAAAGACUUGAAGAAAUUUCCAAUAAUCACAUUUUCGGCACUUAUCUCACUUUAGUCAAUUGUGCAUCAAGUGUUUCUCAAGAUGGAAGGUUGGCAUGCCUAUCCAUUGAAGGUUAUCAAGGCUUUACUAUGGCGUUUGAUUACUACAAAGGCAAUGCUUCAAUAAUUGAUGAUGUAUUUGCAACACUUGGAUUAAAAAUUCAUGGUGACAAAAAUGUCCCUUAUGUGGGACAUUUUUAGGGUAUUAGUUCUUGGCAGGAAUUCAAUGAAUUCUAGAGAAAUACAUAAUGAGAGUUCCAAGUAGAAGACUAGGUCUUGGUGCCAAAGAAUAUAUUUCUCAGUGUGUUUGGCCAAAGAAAAUGUAUAUUAGAAGCUUCAAGGAUGAUGAGAACUCACUAUAAAUGAAUUAUUACACUUUUGUUAAUAAGUUGAACAAUGGUGAGACAUCACCCUUUCAUUCUCUUUAUAAAGAUGUUUGUGGUUAAGCAAAAAUAUCUUCCUUCUAAACUCUA